CAAACGGGACAGUGCAGGUGGAGCUGCGGGUCACCAACCGGGAGUUCACCGACGACCUCCGAAACAUCAGCUCUUCUGCCUACUUGCAGUUUGUCAAGAACUUCACGGAGCAGAUGAACAUGGUCUAUGGCAACAUUCAGGGCUACAAGGGCAUCCAGGUCCUGCGUCUGAUGCCUGGCAGCGUGGUGGUGAAGCACGUCGUCAUCAUCUCCUUGCUGGUGACCGCCCAAACCCAGGAGAAGCUCCGCAACAUCACGGCAGACCUGCGGGGAG